CACUAACACUUGCUUGGAUCAUUAAAUUUAUCAAUCAAAUCCGUUGAUCCAACAAAUAAAAUUAAUUUACGUAGCCUUUUGAUCACACCUAGUUCAACCUUGGUCUCAAACGGCCCCCAAGUUAUUUUAGACCAUUGAUAAAGCUUCCCAUUGAACACUUAGUCCAGUCAAAAGUAGUCCAAAAUCCAAGACACGAAAAGAAGAUGAAAAGAGAAAGAUACAAGACCAAGGUGUGGUCCCAUCACAAACAUCCGGCCGGAUGCCGACUCCACUAAUAGGGAGGAUCUGGUACCCCGGGGUGGACCAUGAGCCACAGCACCUGCAAACUUUAAGAGUAGUGUUCUUUCCCCACUUCAUAUAAUGUACACUCACCCAUCAUGCGACCAAAAGGAGACCCCAAAGUGGUCAAGCAUAUAACGAAAGAAACAAGUUGAUCAGUUCUUUCUAGGGAACAAAUUAAAUUGGAUCUGGUCUGGAUUGUGUCAUGCACCCACCACCCAAACAG
rnacentral:lncRNA from 1 species